CGUGUAGGCGGCCCGGUAAGUCCGCUGUGAAAGUCGGGGGCUCAACCCUCGAAAGCCGGUGGAUACUGUCGGGCUAGAGUGCGGAAGAGGCGAGUGGAAUUCCUGGUGUAGCGGUGAAAUGCGCAGAUAUCAGGAGGAACACCGAUUGCGAAGGCAGCUCGCUGGGACGUAACUGACGCUGAGACGCGAAAGCGUGGGGAGCAAACA
rnacentral:rRNA from 1 species